AUUGAACGCUGGCGGCAUGCCUUACACAUGCAAGUCGAACGGCAGCACGGACUUCGGUCUGGUGGCGAGUGGCGAACGGGUGAGUAAUGUAUCGGAACGUACCCUUCAGUGGGGGAUAACUAUCCGAAAGGAUAGCUAAUACCGCAUAUUCUCUGAGGAGGAAAGCGGGGGAUCGCAAGACCUCGCGCUGAUGGAGCGGCCGAUAUCAGAUUAGCUAGUUGGUGGGGUAAAGGCCUACCAAGGCGACGAUCUGUAGCGGGUCUGAGAGGAUGAUCCGCCACACUGGGACUGAGACACGGCCCAGACUCCUACGGGAGGCAGCAGUGGGGAAUUUUGGACAAUGGGGGCAACCCUGAUCCAGCCAUGCCGCGUGAGUGAAGAAGGCCUUCGGGUUGUAAAGCUCUUUCGGCCGGGAAGAAAUCGCGUGAGUUAAUACCUUGCGUGGAUGACGGUACCGGAAUAAGAAGCACCGGCUAACUACGUGCCAGCCGCCGCAGUAA
rnacentral:rRNA from 1 species